rnacentral:rRNA from 1 species
UAUAGCGUAUAUUAAAGUUGUUGCAGUUAAAAAGCUCGUAGUCGGAUGUCGGGCUCGGGCAGGCUGUCGGCUUCGGUCGGACGGCAGGCUCGGGUCUUUCUGCCUGAGGAACCCGUGGCACUUAACUGUGCGGCGUGGGGACGCAGGCCGUUUACUUUGAAAAAAUUAGAGUGUUCAAAGCAGGCCUACGCUUGAAUACAUUAGCAUGGAAUAAUGGAAUAGGACUUUGGUGCUAUUUUGUUGGUUUAUGGGACCGAAGUAAUGAUUAACAGGGACAGUUGGGGCCGUUUAUAUUUCGUUGUCAGAGGUGAAAUUCUUGGAUUUACGAAAGAUAAACUUCUGCGAAAGCAUUCGGCAAGGAUGUUUUCAUUGAUCAAGAACGAAAGUUAGGGGAUCGAAGACGAUCAGAUACCGUCGUAGUCUUAACCAUAAACUAUGCCGACUAGGGAUCAGUGGAUGUCAAUUUGCGACUCCAUUGGCACCUUGUGAGAAAUCAAAGUUUUUGGGUUCCGGGGGGAGUAUGGUCGCAAGGCUGAAACUUAAAGGAAUU